CAACCUCAACUCAUAUGGGACUACCCCCUGAAUUUAAGCAUAUUAAUUAGGGGAGGAAAAGAAACUAACAAAGAUUUUCUUAGUAGCGGCGAGCGAAAAGAAAUCAGUUCAGCACUAAGUCACUUUGUCUAUAUGGCAAAUGUGAGAUGCAGUGUACGGAACAUCAACAUUCUAGUAUGAGAAGUUAACGAUUUAAGUCCUUCUUAAAUGAGGCCAUUUACCCAUAGAGGGUGCCAGGCCCGUAUAACGUUAAUGAUUACUAGAUGGUGUUUCCAAAGAGUCGUGUUGCUUGAUAGUGCAGCACUAAGUGGGUGGUAAACUCCAUCUAAAACUAAAUAUAACCAUGAGACCGAUAGUAAACAAGUACCGUGAGGGAAAGUUGAAAAGAACUCUGAAUAGAGAGUUAAAUAGUACGUGAAACUGCUUAGAGGUUAAGCCCGAUGAACCUGAAUAUCCGUUAUGGAAAAUUCAUCAUUAGAAUUGUAAUAUUUUAAACAAUAUUAUAAUAAUAGUGUGCAUUUUUUCCAUAUAAGGACAUUGUAAUCUAUUAGCAUAAAUAUUUAUCAUAAAAUUAUGUCUGAUUGCUUAUUUGAAUUAUAUGCUUGGCAUUUUAACAUAAAAUAAAAGAUAUAAAUUUGAUAAAGUGCUGAUAGAUUUAUAUGAUUACAGUGCGUUAAUUUUUCGGAAUUAUAUAAUGGCAUAAUUAUCAUUGAUAUUUGUGUUUAUUAUAUGCAUUUGUAUGAUUAACAAUGCGAA
rnacentral:ncRNA from 1 species